rnacentral:lncRNA from 1 species
UCACAAGUAUAAAAUAGCACAUUGUUGGUACAAACGCUAAGAUUUUUUUUCUCUAAAAUGAAUGAAUAUCAAACUACAAUAACUUUGAUAUGCCAGGGCUAAGGGUGGGACCAAAGACCCAAUCUCAAGGUAGCCCAAUUAAAUAUACACAGGGUCAACAUCAAGAGAAAACUCCUUAAGUUUGUUCUUGGUCAGUAAUGUUCAUUUGUCUUAUACAUUGCCUUGGAAACUUGAAGGCUACUAUUUUUCGAUGGAAGUUGUAACUUGUACUAGUGAGUUUGAAGUGUAUCUUCUGCU